rnacentral:rRNA from 1 species
CGCGUAGGCGGCUUGGUCAGUCGGAUGUGAAAGCCCCGGGCUCAACCUGGGAAUUGCAUUCGAUACUGCCGAGCUCGAGUAUGGGAGAGGGAAGUGGAAUUUCCGGUGUAGCGGUGAAAUGCGUAGAUAUCGGAAGGAACACCAGUGGCGAAGGCGACUUCCUGGCCCAAUACUGACGCUGAGGUGCGAAAGCGUGGGGAGCAAACA